rnacentral:lncRNA from 1 species
GUUUUCUCCCUUCCUCCUCUGUUUGUGGUGGUGCCUCCCCCCAACCUCGGGUCAAGUAGCCGCUACUGAAUGACAGUAAUCCAGACCGGGUGAGCUGCAGCGGCGGCGGCCCCGAGCGCGGGAGCCCGCCUGGUGAACGGAGUGGUUCCUUCCCCGGCCUGUCUCCUUCGCAGGAUUCAGAGAACAGAAGUGGUUCAUGUCCAGAGUGAAAACGUGCUCCCGGACACUUCUGUCUUACAUCUCCUCUGAUGCAGUGGGGUCCAAGGGAUGUACCCAUCUUCAGGCGAUGGAAGUGGGGAAAUCAGUGGGUGCUGGAGCACCAUGAGGAGAAUUCAGGAAUGUGGGAGAGGUGCAUCAAAGCAGCUACUGGAUUAUUGUGCCAAC